rnacentral:piRNA from 1 species
UGGGCAGCUAUCAUUUUUACAGUGCCUUU